UCGAACGAUGAAGCCAGCUUGCUGGUGGACUAGUGGCGAACGGGUGAGUAACACGUGGGUGAUCUGCCCCAAACUUUGGGAUAAGCCUGGGAAACUGGGUCUAAUACCGAAUAUGACCACGGAAUGCAUGGUGGGUGGUGGAAAGCUCCGGCGGUUUGGGAUGGGCCCGCGGCCUAUCAGCUUGUUGGUGGGGUAAUGGCCUACCAAGGCGACGACGGGUAGCCGGCCUGAGAGGGCGACCGGCCACACUGGGACUGAGACACGGCCCAGACUCCUACGGGAGGCAGCAGUGGGGAAUAUUGCACAAUGGGCGCAAGCCUGAUGCAGCGACGCCGCGUGAGGGAUGACGGCCUUCGGGUUGUAAACCUCUUUCACCAGGGACGAAGCGAAAGUGACGGUACCUGGAGAAGAAGCACCGGCCAACUACGUGCCAGCAGCCGCGGUAAUACGUAGGGUGCGAGCGUUGUCCGGAAUUACUGGGCGUAAAGAGUUCGUAGGCGGUUUGUCGCGUCGUUCGUGAAAACUUGGGGCUUAACUCCAAGCGUGCGGGCGGAUACGGGCAGACUUGAGCUACUACAGGGGAAACUGGAAUUCCUGGGUGUACCGGGUGAAAUGCCCCAGAUAUCAAGGAAGGAACACCGGGUGGCGAA
rnacentral:rRNA from 1 species